GGGUGGGGCUCCGAGAGGAUCC
rnacentral:siRNA from 1 species